CCCACUCAUGCUUCAAAUGUCAAACAGCAAAAUUAUCCAAGCAUUCAUCAUCUAUGUACUGCUUUUCCCGGUUUUAUGUUGCCUCCAUAUCUACAAAUGGCUUCAAGAAUUUAUCAUACUUCAGACAGAAGAGGUCACAAUAUCUUGUUUACGGCAGAGGAUUUAGACAAUAGGCAGAAAGAAUCAAUAUGUUCUGAAUAUAUUUACUUGAAUGAACAGGCUGAAAGGAAAAGAAUUUGUUAUGAAGGAGUUCCUGCUUCAGAACUGUUUCAGAGUAAUCAGAAAGAUGGGAUUCACUCUCUUCCACCUCGUUCAUCAAAAACUCUAGCUGAGUGGCAAAAAGCUGAUUAUAGUCUUAAAAAAGCACAACUUCAACUGGUAGGAGAGAAGGUUCCCAUUUAUCCAGAAGCUUUGAAAAUGUUUUGGGCUCCUGUUCCACCAAAAUUCUUUGCUCCAAUUUCUUUUAUGAAGGACAUUUUAUUUCCUAAAUAUGAGAGCAAUGUUAUUGAAGAUAUAAAUUAUGAAGACUUCUUAAUUGAUUAUGAAGAAGAGUUAGAAGCUGAGCAAGAUGAUCUUGAUUUCUAUGAUUAUUUACUGACAGAAAAUGUGCUGAGAAGAUGCCAGUCCUUCUCACAUUUUUCUGACAGUGAGAACUCAAAGCAGAUAAAUUUGAUUAAAAGAUCAGUCUCUGCUCCGGAGAUAACUGCUUUAAAACAUGAAACUAUAUUAAAGAUGUCAGCUGAUUUCAAAACCAGCAUGAAAGAGUUGAAGCUUAUGAAGCAGCAAAUAGCUGUGCCAAAGGUUGAGAUAGACACUGUGAAGAGCUCUCCUGCCAAGCAUCUUUUGAAUCAAGUCUGUGAUGGUUGCCACUCAAAGCUGACAAACACACCAGUGGAAAAAAUGCCUACUUUCUCUGGACAAGAGGAUAGUGAGAAUACUGUACUUGCAAAGAGAGCUCAAAAGGCUGGAUUUAAAUAUGUUGUUAUCCCAAAAGGAAAGAAGAAGAAGAAAUCAAGGAAAACAAUAAAUUCUAGAAAAUUAGAAGCUGUGAUUAAGAAAUUAAAUCAACCUCCAAGAAUUCUUAAAAGGUUUUUCUUACUGUUUUGCCAUUUUAAAGAAUGCAUUUUAAUUUGUAGCUAUAUUAUCUGAUUACAGGUUUUGUCUUUUUUACAUAUUAAGUAUUGCUCUAAAACAUUGUUCAAGUGAAUGCUUAUUAUACAGUUAUGAUAUGGGUUACCUUAAAUAUUAAAGCUGUAGUUUUGAUUUUAGGAGAAUUAUACUUUUUAAAUACAGGUGCUUAAAGCAUAAGCUCAAAAAACCUCCCAAAGGUUUUGUCAUUUUGUGUGCAGUCAUGUUAUGUGUCCCCAGUGUAACUUAUAUUGAUGCUUUAGGCCUGGUCCUUCAGGCCAGUUUCACAUUCAGGUUAUCCUGGUUCUCCUUUUUCUGCCUUUUCACUUUUCUGUAUGUUUAUUGUUAAGAAAAAUCAAUAUACUGAAACUACUGUGUGAUAUACUGCUAUAAUAAGAGAAAACUAAGGGAGAUGGUGGCCUUUUUCCAAAGUUGUAUUUUAGACAGUACUAUAUGGUUGUUGUCUAAGUACUUAAUAUCAGUUUCUUUAAUCCAUGGGGGGGAUACAAAUCUUUGUAUUUUAAAUAUUCAUACACAAGGUUGCUUUAUUUUUUCCUUUAAUUUCCCUUUUUCUCAGUGGGAUCUUCGAAGUUAUAAUAUUUUAAAUACAUAUACGUAAUGCUUAUGUAUAAGAGAUUUCUUAGUAUUCUCUACCAGUAUUUUGUUCUGUGUUAGCAAGGCUAGUAUUCUUUGUGGAAAAAUAUUAAGUGUUUCUGUUAAAGAUCUGUUUCUUUUACUUCGAGGUCCCAAGCAGAUGAUGAUCACGAUCCUUUGUGGAAACUCUUUUUAGAAGAGACAAGUUUUCUUAGCUUAUAAUUUUGGAUGUGUCCUUUCAAGUUCAUGUGGUGGUGUUGUAGUUGUUUAACUUUGCUAAUUUUUAUAUUUUCAUGACCUCCUUCAAAUAUCUAUCAUCCAGAAAGAGAGAGAUCUGUAUCAUAUAUCAUCAAUAUAUUCAUUCAUCUAUGUCAUCAACAUAUGUAGCCAAACUGAAAUAUUGUUCUUUCUUAAAUUUAGCAUUGUCAUUGAAAACUGAAGUUAAAAGCUUUUGGAAGAAAUAAGCAUGAAAUUUGCAAAUAAACACUGAACUACUUGGAG
rnacentral:lncRNA from 7 species